AAACACCAAAGAGUCCGUUUUUGUUUUCGAAAACAUGAAAGCCGUUUCUAUUGUUUCUAGACAUAGAAAUAGCAAAAACGUUAUCAAACGGUGACAUAGUUGAAUGUUUGGUGGAGACGUGAUGGGGAGGAGAGAGAAUGUCUGAUAUUCUUGGAAGGGUUUCUAGGGCAAUUUUCUCUGAUGAGGAGGGCGCCAGGGUGUUGGCAAUGGCAGGAUCCAGAUGGCCAUAUCUUUGGGACUCCUCUCGCUGCUGUUGAUGGAGUGGAGAUCCCUGAUUCGAUUUGCUUUGAUUGGUAGAACCGACUUCCACUAUGUGCCAAUGGAUGAUAUUAGGAAGGAGACGCGGGAAAAUUGGAUCUUGAAGGGGAGAACGAUCUUGGCCCCAGUGAGGAAGGGAUUCAUCUUAUUCCAAUUUAAGAUGGAGUCAGACAUAACGUCGAUUUGGAGAAGAAAUCAGAUUAAGGUGGGUAGCUAGGCUCUUAGAUUUCAGAGAUGGCGAUAGGAUUUUAGCAUUCAUGAGAGUUAGACUCCUACAAAACUUCAGUGGAUACGGUUCCGGACCUUUAUUUGGAAUACUGGCAUGAGAAGAUCCUUCUCACAUUAGCAAAGGUUGCUGGUAGGCCAGUGGCCUUGGAUCAGUGUAUGAGAACCAUGGCUAUGGGGAGCUAUGCCCGGGUGUUGGUGCAAAUGGCUAUUGGGUGUAAGAGGGUGGAUGAGGUUCUGGUAGAAAGGAGGCAGCCUGGUUCAUCUAACCUUUUUUUCUUCAAGCAAGCCAUUAUCGAUGAAGACGAGUUGGAACGUUGUGGGUACCAUAGGCGUGUUGGCCACGCUAUGAGUAGUUGUAGGUAUAGAAGGGCUGCGGAGGUGAACUAACACUAGCAUGAGUGUGCAGCGGUGGUGAACUUGGAUGGUAAUGAAGGGGAGCAUCAGGGGAGGCCUGCUGGUUUGCCAAACAAGUCUGUUCAACCGAGCUAAGAUGGGAAGGAUUCUCCUUCCAUUCCUGGGAGAUCUUCAGAAGACGUGAUGGAUGCUGAUUCUAACAGAAUAAUUGGAGAGCUGGUCGGUGAAAUUGAGGUAGUUGUGCCUACGGGUCAAGGGGAUGGCUCUCACCAACAAGGGUCUAACGAUGCUGGUAAUGCCUUGAUUGGUUAUGGCAGGGAUUCUCUUUCAAGAUGCAGUGGGUCUCAAUAUGGGUCGAAUGAUGUGUGAUCCAACAGGAACUCCCCCUUAUCUGCAGAGAUGGACGGAGGGUCUGGUUCAUUCUCUCAUGUGCAGAAUGAGGAAGUGCUGCAUUGGUGUGGGGCGGCUAGGAGGGAUGGGGUGGGUGAUGGUUGUAUGCCUGAACGGGAGGUUGUCCAUUACCCCAAGUUUGAUUCGUGGUGGGGUUCUUGUGGUGUCUCACGCAGAGCUAGCAGCUAUCGAUAAAUUAGCUAGAAGCACUGAGACAAGUGGCCUACAGACCGUCAGGCGAAAAGUUAAGGGUCCUGUUAAUAUGGAGCAGACUCGCAGGUAUGACCGUAUUGCAUAUACAAAGAAGUGAUUAAUGCGAGUCCUCUUCUGGAGUGUAAGAGGAUUCCAGAAGGCUGCUGCUCAUACAACGUUAAAAAAAUUGUGAGCGAAUUGCAUCCUGACAUGCUGUGUUUAGCGGAGCUGAUGAUUGAGCCUUCUUCUUUCCCCAAAUUAUGGGUUAACAAAAUGGCAUUUGAAGCAGAGUUUAUUCAUAGUGAGAGAGUAGACAAGGUUCCAUACUUAUGGCUGAUUUGGUGUCAGGGUACACAGAAGCCUAGAGUGAUUUCGAUGUCAGAUCAAGAAGUAUCGGUAAGAAUUCUCUGGCACCAAAAAUUCAUUGUUGUCACGAUGGUUCAUACGGGCUGUUUUAGAGCUCAGAGGAGGGAUUUGUGGGUGGAUUUGGCAUCUGUUCCGAUUAUGGGUGAUCCAUGGCUGGUGGUUGGCGACUUCAACGCCACCUUGGCUGCAUACAAGAAGAGGGGUCCGGGUGCUUUUCAGCGGCAGAGUUUGAGGCAAUGGUUGAUGGAUGCUCGCUUUUGCUUAUUCCAUCUCAAGGUCAUAAAUAUACAUGGUCGAACAAUAGAAGGAGGGGUAAUGUGGCUGUAGUCUUAGAUAGAGGGUUUUAUAAUGAAGCCUGGAUCACGCAAUUCCAUAAGUGUGCUCAGCAGGUGCUUCAAAGUGUGGCUUUGGACCAUUCUCCCAUAUUCUGUCUCUAAGGCUUGCCCUAAGCCAAACAAUUGCCCAUUUAGGAUGCAUAAGUUCUGGAUGGAGGAAGAGUCUUUCAUGCAAACUGUGAAGGACUCUUGGGGUCAGAAAAUCGCUCUUAUGUUUUGAGUUACAAGCUGAAGAGAUUAAAUCCAGUUCUAAGGUGCUGGUCUCGAAGUACUUUUCCAAACUUUGAGGUGGAGUUAACAAAUGCGAAGGAGGAUCUAUCUGCAAUUCAAGGACAAAUUGAGGCUAUGGUUUUGGAUGAUGUUCCUUUUGGGAAGGAGGCUGAUGCGUAGACGGCUUAUCUAGAUGCCUUGUGGAAUUAUGAAAAGCUAGGGCCGAAAAACUAGGCUGAGAUGGUAAAGGAAGGGGACAGAAAUUCAAAGUUUUUCCACCUUUAUGCAAAGAUUUGGAGAAUGAAAAAUACUAUAAGAAGGGUGAAGAAACCUGAUGGAGGGGUGGUGGCUUAGAGAGAUGCAAUGGCUGAUUACAUAGUAUAAUACUAUGACAACAUCCAUAGAAGGACUCCAGUGGUGGAUCACUUAGAAUUGCUGGACGUUAUCCCUGCCGUAAUUGAUGAGGUUGACUUGUUUAUUAUGGAUUGGAUCCUGGGUGGAGUCGAAAUCAGGAAAGCAAUUUGGGAGUUGGACUCGGACAGCUCUCCUAGUCCGAAUGGGUUCAAUGGUGCCUUCUUGAAACAUUGCUACGAGUGGAGAUGGAUUUUGUUCGUACAGUCAAGGAUUUUUUUUCAGAUCCAGAUCAAUGCCAAGAGGGGUCCAGUUGGGUAUUUUGGGGUGGAGAGAGGACUGUGACAAGGUGACCUUGUGUCCCCAGUUUCAUUUAUCCCUGCGAAGGAGGUGUUGUGUAGAGGAUUAAAUAGAUUGUUGAGAGGGAAUAAAAUAAAGCCUUUGCAAGGGCCUCGAGGAGCUAA